GAUCCUGGCUCAGGACGAACGCUGGCGGCGCGCCUAACACAUGCAAGUCGAACGAGAGAGAGGAAGCUUGCUUCCUCAAUCGAGUGGCGAACGGGUGAGUAACGCGUGAGGAACCUGCCUCAAAGAGGGGGACAACAGUUGGAAACGACUGCUAAUACCGCAUAAGCCCACGGCUCGGCAUCGAGCAGAGGGAAAAGGAGUAAUCCGCUUUGAGAUGGCCUCGCGUCCGAUUAG
rnacentral:rRNA from 1 species